CACUAGUGAUUGGUGUUCUUCCCGAUAUCUACACAUUCCACCGUUACACCGGGAAUUCCAGUCUCCCCUACCGCACUCAAGCCCGCCCGUACCCGGCGCGGAUCCACCGUUAAGCGAUGGACUUUCACACCGGACGCGACGAACCGCCUACGAGCCCUUUACGCCCAAUAAUUCCGGAUAACGCUUGCACCCUACGUAUUACCGCGGCUGCUGGCACGUAGUUAGCCGGUGCUUAUUCGAAAGGUACACUCACCCGAAGGCUUGCUCCCAAUCAAAAGCGGUUUACAACCCGAAGGCCGUCAUCCCGCACGCGGCGUCGCUGCAUCAGGCUUGCGCCCAUUGUGCAAUAUUCCCCACUGCUGCCUCCCGUAGGAGUCUGGGCCGUAUCUCAGUCCCAAUGUGGCCGGUCGCCCUCUCAGGCCGGCUACCCGUCGUAGGCUCGGUGGGCCGUUACCCCGCCGACUACCUGAUAGGACGCGACCCCAUCCCAUACCGAUAUAAUCUUUCCCAGAAGGACAUGCAUCCAACUGGAGCAUCGGCAUUACCACCCGUUUCCAGGAGAAUCGAAUUC
rnacentral:rRNA from 1 species